rnacentral:ncRNA from 1 species
CGGUAUUUGCCUACCGAGGUUCUUACGGGUGACGGGGAAUCAGGGUUCGAUUCCGGAGAGGGAGCCUGAGAAACGGCUACCACAUCCAAGGAAGGCAGCAGGCGCGCAAAUUACCCAUUCCCGACGCGGGGAGGUAGUGACGAAAAAAUAACAAUGCAGGACUCGUUCGAGGCCCUGUAAUUGGAAUGAGUACACUUUAAAAGCUUUAACGAGUAUCCAUUGGAGGGCAAGUCUGGUGCCAGCAGCCGCGGUAAUUCCAGCUCCAAAAGUAUAUAUUUAAGUUGUUGCGGUUAAAAAGCUCGUAGUUGGAUUUUGGGCGCAGGCGGCCGGUCCGUCGCAAGGCGUGUACUGGACGUCCUGGCCUUCCCUCCGGUUCUCCGCCGGUGCUCUUGACUGAGUGUCGGCGGCGGCCAUAACGUUUACUUUGAAAAAAUUAGAGUGUUCAAAGCAGGCUCUCGAGCCUGGAUAAUGGUGCAUGGAAUAAUGGAAUAGGACCUCGGUUCUAUUUUGUUGGUUUUCGGAGCGCGAGGUAAUGAUUAAGAGGGACAGACGGGGGCAUUCGUACUGUGCCGUUAGAGGUGAAAUUCUUGGAUCGGCGCAAGACGAACGACUGCGAAAGCAUUUGCCAAGAAUGUUUUCUUUAAUCAAGAGCGAAAGUCAGAGGUUCGAAGACGAUCAGAUACCGUCCUAGUUCUGACUAUAAACGAUGCCAACUAGCGAUCGGGGGGCGUUACAUUGACGACCCCUCCGGCAGCUUACGGGAAACCAAAGUCUUUGGGUUCCGGGGGAAGUAUGGUUGCAAAGCUGAAACUUAAAGGAAUUGACGGAAGGGCACCACCAGGAGUGGAGCCUGCGGCUUAAUUUGACUCAACACGGGAAAUCUCACCCGGCCCGGACACAGUGAGGAUUGACAGAUUGAGAGCUCUUUCUUGAUUCUGUGGGUGGUGGUGCAUGGCCGUUCUUAGUUGGUGGAGCGAUUUGUCUGGUUAAUUCCGAUAACGAACGAGACUCUGGCUUGCUAAAUAGUUACGCGACCAUCCCGGUCGGCGUUUAACUUCUUAGAGGGACAAGUGGCGUUUAGCCACACGA